GACUCCGUGGCUACAGAACGACGCUGGCGGCAUGCCUAACACAUGCAAGUCGAACGAUGCCUUCGGGCAUAGUGGCGCACGGGUGCGUAACGCGUGGGAAUCUGCCCUUGGGUUCGGAAUAACUCAGAGAAAUUUGAGCUAAUACCGGAUGAUGACGUAAGUCCAAAGAUUUAUCGCCCAAGGAUGAGCCCGCGUAAGAUUAGCUAGUUGGUGGGGUAAAGGCCUACCAAGGCGACGAUCUUUAGCUGGUCUGAGAGGAUGAUCAGCCACACUGGGACUGAGACACGGCCCAGACUCCUACGGGAGGCAGCAGUGGGGAAUAUUGGACAAUGGGCGAAAGCCUGAUCCAGCCAUGCCGCGUGGAGGAUUAAGGCCCUCUGGGUUGUAAACUCCUUUUAUCUGGGAAGAACCAUUCCGACUUGUCGGAACAUGACGGUACCAGAGGAAUAAGCACCGGCUAACUCCGUG
rnacentral:rRNA from 1 species